AUGACCAUUUCUGGAUGCCCCCGGCCAAUUCCCACAACGCUCCUACAAAGAAGCCAGAUCGUGCCCCCGGCCAGGGAGCGCUUCCCCGCCGGCGAACGUGUGUCUUCCAACUCGCCGUCUCCUUCUCCUCCCACCAGGCCUCCCAAAGCCAUGGCAGCGACGGGGCUCAACGCGUACGCGCGGCCAUACAGCCGCCGCUCCGCCCGCGCCCACCACGCUCCGCCAAAGCCCCACCCUUUCAUGACGCCGGAGUACCACGGCGACGCCGGCUACCCGCCACCUUUCCCCCUCGCCGCCAACUACUCCCGCGCCACCUUCCCCGAGCACCACUACCCCGGCCCCCUCCCGCCGCGGCCCUUCUUCCCCGAGCACGUCGCCGCGCCGCGUCACCACGGCCGUCCGCGCGGGCCCGUGUUCGAUCCUGAGAAGCUGUACGCGCAGGUGAUGCACAGCUUCAACUACAAGCACACGGCGCGAGCGGCCGCGGCCGGGAAGGGCAAGGGAGGAGGACCCGCGACUCGCCGUCUCCUGCCGGCGGCUCCGCCGUGCGGGCCGCGGGGGCAGCGGGCCAGGGGCAGGAGCAAGGUGUACGUGCCGGCCGCGCGUGGCGGAGGGCGGGAGAGGUCGCCGUCGCCGGCGCUCACGAGGCGGAGGGCGUGGCCGGUGCCCCCGCCGGCCUGGGCCUGGCACGGCCGCAGCCGCACCACCGUCAUGAUCCGCAACAUCCCCAACAAGCUCACCCGCCCCUCGAUGAUGAAGCUGCUGGACGACCACUGCGCCCGCGUGAACAGGCGGCGCGGCCCCGGCGCCGUGCCCGCCGCGUACGAUUUCCUCUACCUGCCCAUGGAUUUCAGCAGGCAGCGCUGCAGCAACAAGGGGUACGCCUUCGUCAACUUCACGACGGCGGAGGCGGCGCGCGGGCUGCACUACGCCCUGCACGGCCGCGGCUGGCACCGCUCGCUCGGCAGCGGCAAGAUCAUCAACAUCGGCGCCGCCUACAUGCAGGGCAGGCACAGGCUGGUGAGGCACUUUAGCCGGUCCACCUUCGCGUGCCACACCGACGAGUACCUCCCGGCCCUCUUCUCGCCGCCGCGCGACGGCGCCGCCGACCCGCCCCCGGCCGAGCCCAUGCACCUCGGCCGACGUGUCCCUCCGCGCGUCUCCCCCGCCGUCCAGCCGGCGGCACCGGAGCAGCAGCUGGUGUGGGUGCGUCGAGGCGAGGUCACGAGCUAG
rnacentral:rRNA from 1 species